rnacentral:rRNA from 1 species
GACGUAGGGCGCGAGCGUUGUCCGGAUUUAUUGGGCGUAAAGAGCUCGUAGGCGGCUUGUCGCGUCGAAUGUGAAAUCUCGGGGCUCAACUCCGAGCUUGCAUUCGAUACGGGCAGGCUAGAGUUCGGUAGGGGAGACUGGAAUUCCUGGUGUAGCGGUGAAAUGCGCAGAUAUCAGGAAGAACACCCGUGGCUAAGGCGGCUCUCUAGUACGGUACUGACGCUGAGACGCGAAAGCGUGGGGAGCGAACAGG